UGGCGGACGGGUGAGUAACGCGUGAGAAUCUAGCUUCAGGUUGGGGACAACAGUUGGAAACGACUGCUAAUACCGAAUAUGCCGAGAGGUGAAAGAUUAAUUGCCUGAAGAAGAGCUCGCGUCUGAUUAGCUAGUUGGUGGGGUAAGAGCUUACCAAGGCGACGAUCGGUAGCUGGUCUGAGAGGACGAUCAGCCACACUGGGACUGAGACACGGCCCAGACUCCUACGGGAGGCAGCAGUGGGGAAUUUUCCGCAAUGGGCGAAAGCCUGACGGAGCAAUACCGCGUGAGGGAAGAAGGCUCUUGGGUUGUAAACCUCUUUUCUUAGGGAAGAAAAAAAUGACGGUACCUAAGGAAUAAGCAUCGGCUAACUCCGUGCCAGCAGCCGCGGUAAUACGGAGGAUGCAAGCGUUAUCCGGAAUGAUUGGGCGUAAAGCGUCCGCAGGUGGCAAGUCAAGUUUGCGGUUAAAGGUUCUGGCUCAACCAGAGACAGGCCGUGAAAAC
rnacentral:rRNA from 1 species